GUUGGAAUCGGUUAGAGACCAGAUAAAUUGUAAUGCCAUCUAUUUUUAAUUUUGAAUCUCUUUGAUUAAGGCAAAUUUAUUUUGCAAAUUCGAUUUUAUUCCGCAUUAUGUAAAAUUGACGCCCAUUCCAAGAUGGUACUUAUGUCACUGAAGUGGGGCAAAGUCUGAAAAGAAAUACAUUGGGUAGGAACCAUCCUGAGCAUUAUAUUUUUCUUCAAGGGUUCAAUACCAGCUCGACAGCCAUGUGUUUAAAACCAAUUGUCAGGAGCCAAAUCUCAGAGUGGCCAGUGCUCUAUGAGACCCCCAGUCCUGAUCCAAAUUUUCUCAUCUGAAGUUCCCUCUCCCACACUCAUUUUAGAAAUGGGAUGUUCUUACUGAACAGCUACCUUUUUUUAAUUAUUAUUAUUAUUUCUGGCUACAUUAUUUGUCUAUGAUUUUAUUUAUCCAGGGUUUUCUAUUUUUUAAUUAUAGUAUAUAAUAUAUACAUAGUUGAAAUAGCAAAUUGUAUUUAUGGGUUUAUCAGCCGUGACAAUAACAACAGAAACAUGGAGAAAAAUAAAAUACUGCAUUGUGACUUCAACCUCUCCCACCAGAACAGAAUCUUCCUAUCAUCAUUCUCGCCAAUCCCCUAGGCAACAGCGGAGGUAUGCUGGGAGACUUCCAUAUAAGGUGCUUCAGGUAGUAAUGGCGCCAACAUAAAUUUAGUCAUGGAUAACUUCAAAUAUUUACGAUGGUCCCCUGAGACACCACCUGAAAUGAAGUCUCAGGAUCCUGUGUUUCCUGCACAGUCCACAAAGCACGAUGUUGAGUCACCUGCUCUCAGAGUCCAUGACAGAGAAGCUAAAUUAUCCUUCACUCAAGACAGAAAAGUUCAAGGGCAAAUGUUUCGUCCACCACCACGCUUAGGAGCUGUUGACACAUCCUGGAUUUAGCUCUUUUUGAACUCUCUCCUGGUCUCAAUCCCUCCUCCCCAGAGAAACUACAAGAACAUUUCACUGAAAAAUCUCCCCACAGAGGAAAGGACAGCCCUGGCAGGAGUUCUGAUGGGCCUCAUGCUGUCGCUGGUUCAGGAUGCUUGGCUGCCUCCAGCUGCACUGUAGGGACAAACUGCAGAGGGAGAGGUUCCCACUGUGCCCCAUUUGAGCACUGAUCUGUUUACUGCCUACAGGCUUAACCUCCAAAUGGACUCUGGGCCUUGCCAGUCCGAGG
rnacentral:lncRNA from 1 species